GACGAACGCUGGCGGCGUGCCUAAUACAUGCAAGUAGAACGCUGAAGGAGGAGCUUGCUUCUCUGGAUGAGUUGCGAACGGGUGAGUAACGCGUAGGUAACCUGCCUGGUAGCGGGGGAUAACUAUUGGAAACGAUAGCUAAUACCGCAUAAGAGUAGAUGUUGCAUGACAUUUGCUUAAAAGGUGCAAUUGCAUCACUACCAGAUGGACCUGCGUUGUAUUAGCUAGUUGGUGGGGUAACGGCUUACCAAGGCGACGAUACAUAGCCGACCUGAGAGGGGGAUCGGCCACACUGGGACUGAGACACGGCCCAGACUCCUACGGGAGGCAGCAGUAGGGAAUCUUCGGCAAUGGACGGAAGUCUGACCGAGCAACGCCGCGUGAGUGAAGAAGGUUUUCGGAUCGUAAAGCUCGGUUGUAAGAGAAGAACGAGUGUGAGAGUGGAAAGUUCACACUGUGACGGUAUCUUACCAGAAAGGGACGGCUAACUACGUG
rnacentral:rRNA from 1 species